AGAAAUGAAAGUCAACACCCUUAGGAGUGUGUUGCCUUCCGCAGGUGCUCCAACACUGAGAGGAGAGAAGGCAUUGGAAUCAAAACCUUGCUGAGAAGCUGUGCACUACAGCCAAAGCAGUGGCGUCCAGGAGACAAGGUCUCAUAGUGUAUUCACAUUCAAUACCCACUGCACACGAUCCAAUUAGUUUCACAAGCAUUAAGUGAGAUGUAUUUCUUAAUGAAGCCUUUAAGCAAGGUUGGCCGUAUGUAUCCUAGAAGAGAGAUAAGCACGACUCUGCUGCUCUGAUGCGCCAUGGUGGAACGGCUUUCUGGGGUCAGCUACAUCCGCAUAUCUUCCAAGUUUACAUUUGUAAUCCAGAAAGAAGUAGUACAGAUAAAACCCGCACUGUCCUUCCGAGGAAACACUACAUUCUCUACCACUAGAGAAAGGAAAAGCAGCACACAAAAAGGUAACCACUACAGCCUCCUCGCCUCCAGCCCUGGAGAUUCUCUGCUAUUUCACUGGACCUAAGGAUGAACAUCAUGUAGCUCAGUACAUUUUUAUUAAACAUGAAUCUUUAUAUCCAACUUAAUUAAUGUGCUUUAAUGCAACCCCAGGAACCAGUCAGUAAGGCAGUACUGAGGUGCAGGCAUACUAAGGCAUUCCAAAGAAGUCCCCAUCUCUCUUCUUGCCUGAGUUUUCUUCUGCUCCAAAAUGUCCCCUGCACCGACCCUCCUGACCUCAGCAGGCCGCAGACCGGCAGCAAAAGAAACCCAGUCUGAACAGCUAAUGUGGCACUGUGAACAAUAAAUCUUAAUAACUAGUUAAAACACCAAAAGGACCAGAGGGCAAAUGUUCUGGACAUUUGGGGGUGGUCUUUGUAUGCUAAUUUACAUAAUUCUGUAAGUAACACAUUUCCCCGUUGCUAUAUUAUUAUACAACAGAGAAUCCUCAUAACAUCCUUCAAAGUGAUUUUUGUGUUAAGCAUCUUAGAAAGAGUAAUUCACUUUUAAUUAUAUUAGAUUACCUUAGAUAAAAAUCAGGUCAUGAUGAGGGAGAAGUCACAGCUCUGUAUAAAAGUGUGAUUUCAAGAUAUCCCUAUAUCUUUGGGAUCUGUCACUUUGAACCGGCCAUGCUACACACUCAGACCCUCCAGACGUCAUGGAGGAGCUGAGCUAAAUAAUCUCUCUGGCUGCUAUGAAAAUAUGCAACACUGGGGGAGAGAGAGAUAUGUUUAAAAUCUCUUGAAAAACAAAAGGCAUAAAAGGUUUAAUUGCUCAAAACAGAGUCAUUUAUUUUCUCUAAUUAAGAUUUAUUUGAAAUAAUCAUAUACAUGAUUAAUUUUCAGUCUUCCUAUCCCACAUAUGCACACAGUGCAAGACAGACAGCUUCAGGAAUGAAAGGCAAGCCUGGGCUACCAUGGAAUGACAAUCAUUAGACAAUAGAUGGUGGAGAUUAUUGUUCCAGAUGUUCCAGAUUCUGUUUUCACAGAAUUACUGGAUUCUGUGAAAGCCAGUUUACAACCAGGAAAAUAAUAAACCUGAUUAACUAGCUUCAGAAA